GGAGCACAGAAGAAGUCAUGUAAGCCACGGAGAAAACCUUCUCGACGUGUUUGGUUGGAUACAGGUAGCCAAAGUAAUCAACUGCAGUGAUUGAAGCAUUCCAAGGUAGCAAAUUGCCAACACCAAGCAAGAAAUGGAUUAGAUGUGAUUGAUGGGUUGAACUUGGAACCAAUAUGACUCAUGAAAGUAAGCUUCGUGGGGACAGGAAAUGGAUGGGCAAUAUUAAGGCUUGGUGCCCUUUAUUCUACUGCUACACAUGGGGGGCAGCAUUCUUCAAGCUCAACUCUGAAAUUCUCAAACCAAAUUGGUUCAUUCCCAUCUCUCAACUUCAAUUUCAUUUCAUAAUUUUAUGUUUUAAAUUUUAAAAUGGUUCAUUAAGUUACUAUUUUCUGUGCUUUGAAAGAUCUAAAUGCUACAGAUUAUUCACUACUGAUCUAAGACAGCCAAAACUUGUUAUAGUAAAAACUGAUAUGAAUUGUAAGGUCAUUUCAGCGUGGCCAAGAUGUCACAUUUAGCUGAUAAGCCAUCCGCAUGGGAGAACUUGAUUCUUUAUUUUUCCAGUCAGGGAAUUUUCAUAUUGGAGAAGAUUAAUUACCCCCAUCCAUUCUUUUUUUUCUUCUUCCUGUCAUUUCGUACUAUCUUCACUUGGCUUUUUUAUUCCUCUCUCUCUUUUUUCCUUUUUACCUUGAUCAAUCUUUACAGAACUAUAGACUGAUAUUCUUCAGUAGAAAAUUCCUCCAUAUCAUGGUCUGAAUUCGUAUCGCACACCAUGAGUUGUAGAUUCAAUGAACGAAUAACAAGUGGCUUCGAUUACACACUUAGCCCAACAAACGUGAGGAUAGAAUUUUGAACUUCCAACUUCAAGAAGAGUAAAUAUCUUAAUGGUGAGCUGUGUUCAUGAUUUGAUUUUGUCUUGCUCAAAUAGUCCAUGUUUAUAUUUGUUAAUACAGACCAAUUGUGUUAACAUAUAUAACAGCACCAUUGUAAAACAACAUUGAUUCAAUAGAAACCAAAGGAAAUUAGAAUC